ACUUGGGGAUAACUUCAGGAAACUGGGGCUAAUACCGGAUAGGAGCUCCUGCUGCAUGGUGGGGGUUGGAAAGUUUCGGCGGUUGGGGAUGGACUCGCGGCUUAUCAGCUUGUUGGUGGGGUAGUGGCUUACCAAGGCUUUGACGGGUAGCCGGCCUGAGAGGGUGACCGGCCACAUUGGGACUGAGAUACGGCCCAGACUCCUACGGGAGGCAGCAGUGGGGAAUAUUGCACAAUGGGCGGAAGCCUGAUGCAGCAACGCCGCGUGCGGGAUGACGGCCUUCGGGUUGUAAACCGCUUUCGCCUGUGACGAAGCGUGAGUGACGGUAAUGGGUAAAGAAGCACCGGCUAACUACGUGCCAGCAGCCGCGGUGAUACGUAGGGUGCGAGCGUUGUCCGGAUUUAUUGGGCGUAAAGGGCUCGUAGGUGGUUGAUCGCGUCGGAAGUGUAAUCUUGGGGCUUAACCCUGAGCGUGCUUUCGAUACGGGUUGACUUGAGGAAGGUAGGGGAGAAUGGAAUUCCUGGUGGAGCGGUGGAAUGCGCAGAUAUCAGGAGGAACACCAGUGGCGAAGGCGGUUCUCUGGGCCUUUCCUGACGCUGAGGAGCGAAAGCGUGGGGAGCGAACAGGCUUAGAUACCCUGGUAGUCCACGCUGUAAACGGUGGGUACUAGGUGUGGGGUCCAUUCCACGGGUUCCGUGCCGUAGCUAACGCUUUAAGUACCCCGCCUGGGGAGUACGGCCGCAAGGCUAAAACUCAAAGGAAUUGACGGGGUCCCGCACAAGCGGCGGAGCAUGCGGAUUAAUUCGAUGCAACGCGUAGAACCUUACCUGGGUUUGACAUGGAUCGGGAGUGCUCAGAGAUGGGUGUGCCUCUUUUGGGGUCGGUUCACAGGUGGUGCAUGGCUGUCGUCAGCUCGUGUCGUGAGAUGUUGGGUUAAGUCCCGCAACGAGCGCAACCCUUGUUCACUGUUGCCAGCACGUUAUGGUGGGGACUCAGUGGAGACCGCCGGGGUCAACUCGGAGGAAGGUGGGGAUGACGUCAAGUCAUCAUGCCCCUUAUGUCCAGGGCUUCACGCAUGCUACAAUGGCUGGUACAGAGAGUGGCGAGCCUGUGAGGGUGAGCGAAUCUCGGAAAGCCGGUCUCAGUUCGGAUUGGGGUCUGCAACUCGACCUCAUGAAGUCGGAGUCGCUAGUAAUCGCAGAUCAGCAACGCUGCGGUGAAUACGUUCCCGGGGCUUGUACACACCGCCCGUCAAGUCAUGAAAGUUGGUAACACCCGAAGCCGGUGGCCUAACCGUUGUGGGGGAGCCGUCGAAGGUGGGACUGGUGAUUAGGACUAA
rnacentral:rRNA from 1 species